UACCAUUAUUAUUACUAUCUGGAGAGUUUUCUGUACUCUAUCAGUCACUACUACAGAAGGGAGAGUCAAGCAGAGGCCUACCCAUUCCAUUCCUAGCUUGGUCAGUGGCUAGUGAGUGGAAGGCAAUCUGCUACAAGU
rnacentral:snoRNA from 2 species